rnacentral:rRNA from 1 species
UUAGAGUUUGAUCCUGGCUCAGAACGAACGCUGGCGAUGUGUUUUAAGCAUGCAAGUCGAACGGUUCGCGGGCUUGCUCGCGAAUAGUGGCGGACGGGUGAGUAACGCGUAAAUAAUCUGCCUUAAAGAUGGGGAUAGCCUUUGGAAACAGAGGGUAAUACCGAAUAAUGUUUAAGAUUGGAGGAUUUUAAAAGAAAGGGGCAACAGCCUCGCUUUAAGAUGAGUUUGCGUCCUAUUAGCUAGUUGGGUUGGUAAGAGCGGCCCAAGGCGACGAUAGGUAGCCGGCCUGAGAGGGUGAACGGUCACACUGGAACUGAGAACGGUCCAGACUCCUACGGGAGGCAGCAGCUAAGAAUAUUCCGCAAUGAGCGAAAGCUUGACGGAGCGACAUCGCGUGAACGAGGAAGGCCUUCGGGUUGUAAAGUUCUUUUAUUCGUGAAGAAUAAGGUUAAGAGUGGAAAGCUUGACUGAUGACAUUAGCGAAGGAAAAAGCUCCGACUAAUUACGUGCCAGCAGUCGCGGUAAUACGUAAGGGGCGAGCGUUGUUCGGAAUAAUUGGGCGUAAAGGGCGCGUAGGCGGUUAUUUAAGUUUAUUGUUAAAACGCAGGGCUUAACUUUGCGAGGGCGGUAGAUACUGAAUAACUAGAGACCACGAGAGGAAAAUAGAAUUUCUAGUGUAGGGGUAAAAUCCGUUGAUAUUAGAAGGAAUACCAGAGGCGAAGGCGAUUUUCUGGCGUGGAACUGACGCUGAGGCGCGAAAGCUUAGGGAGCAAAUAGGACUAGAUACCCUAGUAGUCUAAGCUGUAAACGAUGUACACUUGAUGUCAAGACGGAGAAGUUUUGGUAUCGGAGCAAACGCGUUAAGUGUACCGCCUGGGGAGUACGCUCGCAAGAGUGAAACUCAAAGGAAUUGACGGGGGCCCGCACAAGCGGUGGAGCAUGUGGUUUAAUUCGACGAUACGCGAGGAACCUUACCAGGGUUUGACAUACACAGUGAUAAGCCAGAGAUGACUUAGCCCCGAAAGGGGACUGUGAACAGGUGCUGCAUGGCUGUCGUCAGCUCGUGCUGUGAGGUGUUGGGUUAAGUCCCGCAACGAGCGCAACCCUUGUCGUAUGUUGCUAACAGGUAAGGCUGAGGACUCUUACGAGACAGCUGAUGAUAAAUCAGAGGAAGGUGGGGAUGACGUCAAGUCAGCAUGGCCCUUACAUCCUGGGCUACACACGUGCUACAAUGGUUGAGACAAAGGGAAGCGAAGUUGAGAAAUGGAGCGGAUCUCAGAAAAACAAUCGUAGUUCGGAUUGAAGUCUGAAACUCGACUUCAUGAAGGCGGAAUCGCUAGUAAUCGCGCAUCAGCAUGGCGCGGUGAAUACGUUCCCGGGCCUUGUACACACCGCCCGUCACACCAAUCGAGUUGGGGAUGCUUAAAGUUAUUAGUUUAACCGCAAGGAGGACGGUAACAAGAGCGUAAUCAGCGAGAGGGGUGAAGUCGUAACAAGGUAACCGUA